GUCCUGGCAGUAAACGGUGCGCGUUUGGUGUGGGGAGGAUUCGACCCCUUCUGUGCCGGAGCUAACGCGUUAAACGCGCCGCCUGGGGAGUACGGUCGCAAGAUUAAAACUCAAAGAAAUUGACGGGGGCCCGCACAAGCGGUGGGAGUAUGUGGCUUAAUUCGAUGCAACGCGAAGAACUUUACCUAGCCUUGACAUGCAUCUCUAAGUCGGUGAAAGCCGGCGACUGUAGCAAUACAGAAUUUGCACAGGUGCUGCAUGGCUGUCGU
rnacentral:rRNA from 1 species